UGGGGAAUAUUGGACAAUGGGCGCAAGCCUGAUCCAGCCACGCCGCGUGAGUGAUGAAGGCCUUCGGGUCGUAAAGCUCUGUGGGGAGGGACGAACCGCCGGACGUUCAUAGCGUACGGCAUGACGGUACCUCCUUAGCAAGCACCGGCUAACUUCGUGCCAGCAGCCGCGGUAAUACGAAGGGUGCAAACGUUGCUCGGAAUUAUUGGGCGUAAAGCGCACGUAGGCGGCUUUGCAAGUCCCAUGUGAAAGCCCACGGCUUAACCGUGGAAGUGCAUGGGAAACUGCAGAGCUUGAGUACUUAAGAGGAUCGCGGAAUUCCCGGUGUAGAGGUGAAAUUCGUAGAUAUCGGGAGGAACACCAGUGGCGAAGGCGGCGAUCUGGGAAGAUACUGACGCUGAGGUGCGAAAGCGUGGGGAGCAAACAG
rnacentral:rRNA from 1 species